rnacentral:rRNA from 1 species
UACGUAGGUGGCAAGCGUUGUCCGGAUUUAUUGGGCGUAAAGAGCUCGUAGGCGGCUUGUCGCGUCGACUGUGAAAACUUGGGGCUCAACCCCAAGCUUGCAGUCGAUACGGGCAGGCUAGAGUUCGGUAGGGGAGACUGGAAUUCCGGGUGUAGCGGUGAAAUGCGUAGAUAUCCGGAGGAACACCGGUGGCGAAGGCGGCUUCCUGGACCGACACUGACGCUGAGGCGCGAAAGCUAGGGGAGCAAACGGG